rnacentral:rRNA from 1 species
UACGGGAGCAGCAGUGAGGAAUAUUGGUCAAUGGGCGCGAGCCUGAACCAGCCAAGUAGCGUGCAGGAUGACGGCCCUAUGGGUUGUAAACUGCUUUUAUGCGGGGAUAAAGUCGGCUACGUGUAGCCGUUUGUAGGUACCGCAUGAAUAAGGACCGGCUAAUUCCGUGCCAGCAGCCGCGGUAAU